GAUGAACGCUGGCGGCGUGCCUAAUACAUGCAAGUCGAGCGAACAGACGAGGAGCUUGCUCCUCUGACGUUAGCGGCGGACGGGUGAGUAACACGUGGAUCACCUCCCUGUAUGACUGGGAUAACUUCGGGAAACCGGAGCUAAUACCGGAUAAUAUAUUGCACCGCAUGGUUCAAUAGUGAAAGACGGUUUUGCUGGCACUUAUAGAUGGAUCCGCGCUGCAUUAGCUAGUUGGUAAGGUAACGGCUUAUCAAGGCGACGAGGCGUAGCCGACCGGAGAGAGGGAUAGCCGACACGGGAAGUGAGACACGGACCAUACGCCUACGGGAGGCAGCAGUAGGGAAUCUUCCGCAAUGGGCGAAAGCUUGACGGAGCAACGCCGCGUGAGUGAUAAAAGUCUUCGGUGCGUAAAACUCUGUUAUUGGGUAAAAACAAAUUUGUAAGUAACUAUGCACGUCUUGACGGUACCUAAUCAGAAAGCCACGGCUAACUACGUG
rnacentral:rRNA from 1 species